AAGCUUCGGGCGGCGGUUUCUGGCUACUUUUGAUGCGUCUAAAUUUAACGGGGAAAUCGAUGGAUGUUGAAUAAUUGCAUAUGGCUUAAGACAUACAAAUUGGUAUUUUUGGAAUUCUUCUGGGGCACGAGGAAGGAGGUGGUGGACCCCUGCAGUUGAAUCGUUUCGAAAAGUAUAUAAAGAUGAGAACUGCAUUAUUCAAACAGAUAACAGGAGAUACAAGCAUUUUGGAACAACAGUUUGAAAAGAAAAGAUAAUAAUGAACUACAGAGUUGUGUGUGGAUUUUUGCUCCUGAGCUUACUUCUGCUGAGCCCUUUGGUCAUACAAGAAACCCGAGCAUUAGCAGUGGACAAAAAAAAGAUCAUGAAAGCUCUUUUCCUCACCAAACUUGCCCUGAAGAAGAAGAAACUUCUUGUUGUGCCACUCCCAGUCCCCAUUAUGGUGGAAAAAAAGCACCAUGAGCAUCAUAUCGAACACCAUGACUGGAAACAUCAUGGUUAUUAACAGCUUUGAAGCAUCACAGCCGCAUGUAAUCUUAAACUAGCUGUUAACCAAAAUAAUCUAAAUCAUCUGUUCAACUCUCA